rnacentral:rRNA from 1 species
GAUGAACGCUAGCGGCAGGCUUAACACAUGCAAGUCGAGGGGUAACAGGUUGGUGCUUGCACUAAUGCUGACGACCGGCGCACGGGUGCGUAACGCGUAUAGAACCUACCUUAUAGUAAGGGAUAGCCCAGAGAAAUUUGGAUUAAUACCUUAUAGUAUCAUAAAUCAGCAUUGGUUAAUGAUUAAAGAUUUAUCGCUAUAAGAUGGCUAUGCGUUCUAUUAGCUAGUUGGUAUGGUAACGGCAUACCAAGGCGACGAUAGAUAGGGGUCCUGAGAGGGAGAUCCCCCACACUGGUACUGAGACACGGACCAGACUCCUACGGGAGGCAGCAGUGAGGAAUAUUGGACAAUGGAGGCAACUCUGAUCCAGCCAUGCCGCGUGUAGGAAGACUGCCCUAUGGGUUGUAAACUACUUUUAUAGAGGAAGAAACCGCUCUACGUGUAGAGCUCUGACGGUACUCUACGAAUAAGGAUCGGCUAACUCCG